CACCUGCAUUGGUGAAUCAUUAAUUUGCAAAAAAAAAAUCAAAAAUAUAUAAUCAAAUACACUAACUUAGUUUACAGGUCUUGUUUGUUUUUAACCUCUUCGGACAAGAAAUUAUUUUAUUAACUAUACUUAUUUAGAAAUAAAUGUUUUUUAAUUAAUGUUAAUGAUAAUUAAUUAAGGAGGCUAAUGAUGCAUUUGUAAUAUUAAAUCAAAAAAGAAUUACAAAUAUAUUCAUUAGAUCAAACUAAUGAAACUUUUUUCUUUUAGAAUGUGACUUAGGUAGUGAAAUAUCAUGUAUGUGAUGAUGGGUGAGAGUGAGCACGUGUGUGCACACGUGUGAGAAGUAAAAACAAAAAAUAGAAAAAAACUAUAUUUUAUCAAUGAUAUUACAACUACAAUUGUUACCAUGCUAAUCAACUAUAUAUCUUUUUAUUAAGUUAUUACAAGGUAACUUUUAACUUUAACUAUAAAGUAAAAAAUCUGUAUAAUUUUUAAAGAGAAAAAAUAACUUUAACUUUAACCGGAAAGUGAAUUUUUUUUAAUUUAUAUUGAGAAAAAAGAUAAAAUAUGAAGUUUUGAAAGUGGAGUAUUUAAAGGUGGCAAUGGCAGUGUAUAAGUUAUUGAGGCCAAGAAUAAAAGUGAGGUAAUAUUUUGUGAGUUAUAUACAUAUAAACUUGGAUCUUUGUUGAGAUAUAAAUAAGAUGCUUGUUUUCCUUUGCUAUAUGGAGAAAAAUAAUGUGUUUUCUUUGCAGAAGAACUUGUCCAAGAUCAAUAAUAUUUCAGUUUUCUCAAUGAUUCAUGCAUGCCUCAGGUAGAAACUAUGGUUCACUUCAAACAUCUCUUCUAUUCUCUACAUAUAAUAAAGAUCUAAAUUUUUUGUUAUUCAAUUAUGGAUUUUGUAGAGUAUUUUUCAACUAUUUGUUUUAACUUUAUUUUUGUUAAUGUAUAAAAUGAUUUAACUUCAUUUUGUUCUUUUUUGUAUUUUUUUUACUCAAACAUUUUUUGGUAUAUGUGCGUCUCUGUUUUUUAAAAGAAGUAAUAUAAGCACGUGUGACAUACAUAACUUAUUUUCUUUGUCCUAAAAAAUAUAAUUAAAAAAUGGUCAUAAAAGCUAUGUUUUUUUUUGUUAAUAUGUUAAAUUUUAUAUUUUAAAAGCUUGUAUUGUUAAUAUUAUCGUUGAAUUAAGAUUAAAAAAAUUUAUUUUAAUUUUGAUAAUUUAUAAUUCUAAAAAGCUAAUAACAAAAAAAAUUGGACUGUGAAAUCUCAAUUCGAAGAUUACAAAUACGGUGAAUUAUCAAGAUCCUAAAAUUUAUGUCAUGAAUCAUAACUAGAAGUUAUAUAAAGAAACCUAAAAUUGAUAUUUGAUGAGAUCAAUGAUAAAGAUCCAACGGUUGAGAUUCGUAUAUAGACAUAUCUACAUGAAACACCUUAGAUUAAAUUUGUGUAGAAACGAUGGUUCAGCUCCUAAGGUACAACAUAUUCUGUUCUCAUUUACAAGAAACCUAUAGAUAUAUAUUUUAGAAAAUUGAAAUUAUUUUAUAUUUAUGUAUAAAGUAGAUAUCAAACUAGCAACAUUUUCUUCAUUUAUUUAAUUAUUAUUUAAGUAAUGAAGUUUUUUUUAAAUGUUUAAUUUUUUUAUAUUUAAUUUUUUUAUAUUUUGUAAUAUUGUUUAAUUUUCACUUUAUUUUAUUAUAUCCUCAAAGUAUUAUUAGGAAACACAACAAAUAACUUUAAGAAGAGUAAAAUAACAUCAAGAGAACUUGUAUUUUAUCAAGUUCAUUCGAGUGUUAUACCUUUUAUGUUCUCAAAUCUAUUUUCUUUGUGAUAUAUUAAUUGUAUAUCCAUAAAUAUGUACUUCUCUUUUAGUUUUUUUAGGUUAGAGAAAUAGAGACUCGCAAAAUAAUAGAUUUUAUUUUAAAAUAAGAAGUCAACACUGUUUUAUACCUUAUUUUUUAUAAAAAGAAAUCAUUUAAUAAUCUUGUUACUAGUGUAGAGAUUUUUCAAUUUAAAAAGAUAAUUUAUCUCAAUAAAUUGUAUAAUCUCUACAAUUAUUUAAAUAAUAAAAUUAUUAUAUGAGAUCCAAACACUAUAAAUUGUAAUUUUGUUUUGAAUUUAUUUCGUUCUAAUAUAAAUUUUUUCUUUUCAGUACUAGUAAUGGAAAGAGAAAAGAAUUCAAAUACAAAAAUAAAGUGAUUUUUAGAUGUUCCUAUAAACCGUUUUCUUCAUAUCUCUUUAAAUAUAUGUAUAUAGAAAUUUUAAUUAUAUAUUUUAACCACUCUUGUUUUCUUGCAUCAUAGGCUACAUAUAAAGAGAAGAUCCUUUUGAAGUGUAUUUGCAUAGUAGAUAUCUUCUAGAGUCAUGUAUCAUGCAAGAAUCGUAAGUUUUAAUUUAGGGCAAUUAUAUUUGUAACAAGAGUGAAAAUAUGAAAUGAUUUCUUAAUUAAGGUCCUUAAUGACAUAUAUAUUCUUGUUGUCCUUUUUUUUAAACUUGUAGUAACCCCUAAUUUUUUUAAUAUUGUCGUAGUAACCUUUUGUAAUAAACAGUGUAACCCUUAUGUAUCUUUUUAUCAUCACCAUCUUUGACCUCCGUCUAUUUUUUCUAUAAAAUUUUCCUUCCUUAAUAUUUAAUCAGAAAUUUUAUUCUAAACAAAAACUUUAUAAAUAAUUACAUAUUAUUGUAACUUUUAUAUUCUCAAUUUAAAUAAUUCAUAUUCAUGUAACUUUUUUAUUUUCCAUUGUAUUUUGAGACAUGGUCUUAUUUAUAGGAUGGGGUUGUUUAAUUUUCUCUAUAACCUAAUUUGAAUUUUUUUCUUUCUUCCGUUCAAACGGUUAAGAAUCCCUUAGGUUCCUUUCUUUUUUAUUUGAAAUAUAUUUUAACUUUCUGUUUAAACUUAUUAAAAAAUAUGUUUAACAAAAUAUAUGAUUUUGUACAAAUGAUUUUCUUAUUUUAAUUGACCUAAAAUCCUCACAUCAAAUUACAUCUUAGGAUAUGGAAGUUUAUGAAACUUCUUCACAGCCAAUUCUACCACAUUUGUGAUGAAGGGAGUAUAUUCUUGGAAGUGAAAAAUAUUACAAUUCAAUUUGAAUGAAAUUAAGAGAAUUUUAAUUAUUUCUACAAAAAAAAUUAGAUGAUUCAAUUUCUCAAAAUGAAAUGUAUGAAAACUACCAACAAAAAUCAUAUUAUAUUAUAAAUAUAUAUAACUAGGUAGUUAGAGGGAAAGAGAAAGCAUGCAAUAGAAGGGAGAGAUAAAAAGGAAUUAAAAAUGUUGAUAUAAGAGAUUCUAAAAGGUUUUAAAUAAAUUUUGUAGAAGGAGUUAGAAUUUCUAAACUUAAAAAAAAAACUACAAACCCCAAAUUAUUGCAUCUCUUCUCAUGCAAAGAAUUCUCUCCCACUUUAUAAACUCUAUUCCAAGUGUAUACUACAAGCUCAUAUAUACCAAAAGUUAACAAGAAAGCUAGGAACUUUCUUUAUCUUUUGAACUAUAAAAAACAAAGAUGGUGACUUAAACUUUUCCACAUAAAAAUAAUUAAAUCGUAAUAAAAUAAAAUAUUGAUUUGUAGAGUUCAUGCAAAACAAAACAUCUCCAUUUUUUUAAUAAAUAAAUAAUAGAAUUUAAUAUAUAUUAAAAUAUUUGAUAUGGAUUGACCUGUUUCCCCACUUUGCAUGUAGUUCUAUGAUCAAGAGUUGUUCAUCGGGUGUAAUAUUCCCUCGUCUAACAUCGGGUCGAAGAUAAUUUAGCCAACGAAGUCUGCAACUCUUUCCGGUACGUUUAAGACCUAUAAUGUAUAAAAGCAUCUUAUUAUAACUUAUGAAAAUAUUAUGGAUUACUAGUAAGCUUACCAAGCUAGGUCAUAUUUUUUAGGUAUCAUCAUCCAAAGCCCUUAGUUAAACAUGCUACUAGUGUUAUUUCAUUUGAUUAAAGAAAAGUAGAAGAUAGAUGUAUAUGUGUGAGAUUAAUUAUUAUUAUUAUUACCAGCAGAUUUUGCCAAGGAGUUCCAAACACCUUCACCAUGAUUUGCAAUAUAGUUGAUCAAGAUCAAGUCUUCUUCCAUUGUCCAUGGUCCUUUUCGAACAUCAG
rnacentral:lncRNA from 1 species